rnacentral:rRNA from 1 species
UACGUAGGGAGCAAGCGUUGUUCGGAUUUACUGGGCGUAAAGGGCGCGUAGGCGGCGCGGUAAGUCAGCUGUGAAAUCUCCGAGCUUAACUCGGAACGGCCAGCUGAUACUGCAGUGCUAGAGUGCAGAAGGGGCAAUCGGAAUUCUUGGUGUAGCGGUGAAAUGCGUAGAUAUCUGCAAGAACACCGGAGGCGAAGGCGGCUGACUGGCAAGACACUGACGCUAAGGCGCGAAAGCGUGGGGAUCAAACAGG